ensembl:lncRNA
UGUAAAGUCAGACCUGUCAUUGGCAGGGCUGACCGAGCAGCAAUGUGCAAGUCCAUGGCAGGUGGGGACAGAAGUGGUGCAACCAGUCUGCUCAGAGCCAGCGAGGCCAGCAAAACGAAGUCCUAGUUGAGAACUCUAUUCCAGGCCUGCUGGACUUGAGACAGACAGCAGAAUUAGGUAAUUUCGGGAAGUGAAUGACCACGCUGACCUUGUGCGGACCUGGGAUGAUGACACAUGCCAAGAUGGGCCCGGGCCAAGUUCCUGUCUCGCUCCUGUAAUUAGACUCCACCUCGUCUUCUGAUUUAUGAUCGACUCACUUUAAUAAAGCAGAUAGUUUGAGUUACAUUGAAUUGAACAUUCAUUUCUUCUGCUUUUCCUUUAAGUAUGGUAGCUUUGAAAGUCCAAGAGUCUGCUGGCAGAGGAAAGCUCUUAUCCAUUAGCAUGGACACAAGUCAGGGACCAGACACCAGGACUCCCCAGAGCUACACUGAACAGGGGUUGGAUCAGCGGUGUUCCGGUUCCUUUCUUGCCUCUCUUACUGAUCCUGUGUAUUUUAGGAGAAGCAGGAAACCCAUGCACGCCUAGGUUUUGCUCUGCACAUUCAAAGGAGCUCAGCACUCACUGACCACGCUAAAGCUUCCCUCACACCACCUGUGCAGCAGGGAGUUGGGCCGUGUUGGGGCGCAAGAAAUUCAAAUCUGCCUGCAGAGCUGUGGUAGCCUCACCUUCCAGGAAGACAGUGGAAACCCCCCUAAGAGCACCACGGGCUGCCUAGAACCCUGCUCUCCCAGAGCUUCUGUGUGAUAUUUGAACCUCCCUUGCUACAUUUUCUGCAGCCUGCAUGGAGUGGAGUUAUCCUCUUAUCUGUGCGUCACACCUGGGUCUCAACGGGCUCAUCUUUAUUCUUCCUGGACCCUGGGACAGUGUUUCACCUGGAGUAGGUUCUGUACAUAUGUCCAGUGGGUUCUCAUUGGGCCAGUACUUCCGUACCUUUCCUUCGGUUUUAUUAAAAAUUCUCUUAAGUAUAUUGUCUUCAUAAUUACACUUCAAAAAAGAGAAAGUCAAGGUCACAAGCAGAUUUAAUUUUUUUCUUAACUGCGAGGACUCGGCUCCUCGAGCCUCUGUUCUCCGGAGCGCUGUGUAGCUUCCGAGUGGCUGGCAUGGGGCAGCUGCCUAAGCACACGGAGAAAGGAUUCGGAGGCGGUGUGUGCCGGGCACUGUGCCAGGGGCCAAGACGAACUCGGAGUGGGUUGUUCCUGCAGGAACUCGGAGUAUCACAAGGGCGUCAAUAUCUGAGCUUUUGGAACUUCACUUUCUAUUUGUAGAGUGCUUUUAAUGAAGAAUAUUCUCAAUUACAUGGUUUCUUCAGAUUUCACAAUCCAGUGAAUGUAAUAAUGCACUUAUUUUUUUGCUUGUUUGUCAGAAGGUUCAGAGCCCCCUGCCUCCACUCCAGCGUCUGAAUGUGAGAGGCGAGCGCUGUACCACGGAGCCAUCUCCCAGUCCACAGCUUUUCCUUAAACAUUGAUCGUCUCCUUAUGUCCAGGUCCUCCUGCGUCUUCAUUAUAGGAAGUGCAAAGAAUGGAAAAAAGGCAAGAUACACAUCUGUGUGUGUGUGUGUGUGUGUGUGUGCGCGUGCGUGUGUGCAGGAUGGAGCUGGAAUGGACAUCUUUCCUGAGAUGUGAGCAGCAGGAGUUUUGACGCUGGUGAGAAGGCUCGGGCUGUAAGGACCAGGGUCCCCCCAAACUCCUGGGCCUGGAAGCAGCCUGUGGGCCAGCUAGGAGCCCGAGGGGCUGAUCUGAGAGCUCCCACAUCUGGGCCGACCCAGGGCUGCCUGUCCCAGGACAGGAGCAAAGGAGGGAGAAGGGGCCGGGCGACUGUCACUGUUGGAGACCAGGGAGUGACAGGCUGACACCUGGGGAGGGACCCACGAGGACAGAAGGAGCCAGUGGGGUGCAGUGGGGCAUGGUUAAGGGGCUGGAGGUGGACACAAGUUUAGCGAUAGUUACACAGGAGGAAGAAUGGACAACUGUAGGGAUAGGAGAUUUGGGUCAAUCAAUGGGAUAUCAAAAUUUGACAUAAAGAGACCAAAAAUUUCUGGUUAAUGAAAUAAAGAGGGCUCAUGGGAGCAGCUUGCUAAGAAGAAAGGUCAUUGGAGCUCCAGAAAUCCCAAGUCCCAACAGCAGACUGCCCUAGGAUGGUCUACCUCCCAGAAGGAGGAGAGAAAUGUGGUGAUUUAGGUGCAAAAAUGUUCUGCAAAUGUGUGAGAAUUAACUGAAAAGUCAGCAGAUAACAGAUUAAGAAGGAAGGGGUGGUCAUAUUGUUUAUGCCAUCUGUAUAAUUAACUUUUCUCCUAAUAUUACAAACAUUUUCCUUGUUAUCAUCCAUUUUAUAAAUAUCAUUUUUGUAACUGAUAGUUACAUCUAUGGUUGCAACAUAACUCAUAUACCCUCUGCAGCCUUUAAAUUGUUUCCAAUUUUUCACUAUUACAUAUAAUUUAGUCCCAUUUCUAUUUGCAUAUAUGUUUACAAACAAAAUAGAGGCAUUUUUUGAAUUCAAACAACUGCUUUGGUUUUUAUUCAAGGACUGAUCAAACUCAGAUCAGUUUGUGACUGGCUAAAUUGAUUCAAUUUGAACCGUUCCAGAAUGAGGCUGUGUCUGGUUGGUUUCAGACCCCUGGUUCGGGAAGAGAAGAGGGCACAUAGGUAGUGAGUGGCAUCCUUAGGACAUCAGAAGGCACCAUUAGGUCUUUUCCUGAUUUCCACAUUGAGAAGAUGAUUUUCCGCCUGCAGUCGGGGAUCUGGCAGGUUUGGGCAGUGAGUGUGGGCUUCAUUCCAAGACCCCAAGAUGACUGCUGGAGUUCUGGCCAUAACAUCUGAGUUCCAAGCAUCAGGAAGGAGGAAAGGCAAAGGAUUUUCUUCCAAAGUCCUUGCUUCUAACAAACCGUUCAAGUCUCACAGUUAUUUUCCUCUAUAUCAUAGGGCUAAGUUCUAAUAUGUAAGGACACAACUAGCUGCAAGGGAACUUUGUAAAUUUACUAGUUGAAAUGUCCCUGUAAGAAAAAAAAGUUUUUACAGUAAAAAAAAGAAGGGUAGGAAAUUUUUGUGUAUUCAACUGGCUUUCUCUGGCAGUAGUCUUUUCGACUUUGCUGAGGUUACACAGCUGUAUUGUGACUCGAACACAGGCCCUUCCAUUGAACCAAGUCCCAGUGGUGACCAGCUCUGUUGUCCACACACGGAGCAGCCAGGGCUCUGGGGCCACACUGUGAAUGACACCAAGGUGUUGUCACCCAGGUCUCAACUCCUCUGAGGGUUGAGGCUGGGCUCUGGUCUCUGUGUCAUCUUUCAUCUUAAAAUAGCUUUGCUUCUCGGUGUUUGAGCACCUCCACUUCUGGGAAUUUUGCAUAUGGAAAUAAUUAAAAUGGGUGCAAACAUUUAUGUACUAGGAUGUUCACCGAAGCUUUAUUUAUAAUAGUCGAAAAUUGAGUAUAACCAAAAUACCCAACAAAGGAAAUUGGUUAAAUUACAAAUACUAGAAUAUCCAUAUGGCAGAACACAUUGCAACCAUUAGAAGUCAUGUUUCUCCAGAAUAUCUAAGGACAUGCAUGAGAAAGCUAAUAAGUUAUGUUAAAAACAUUAAAAAUAGCAAUCACUGCGAUCCCACAUUUGUAAUAUAUCUCCGCAGAAGCCUGGAAGAACAGCAACCAAACAUUAACCGUGAUUCUUUGGUAGACGAAGGGACUGUUCAUUACUGUACUUUUUAUUUAUGCUUUUCUGAAUUUUCCAAAUUCCUAUAAUGAAUAUGUAUUACUUUUGUAAUCAGAAAAAGCUCACAAGUGUCAUUGGAAAAUAUGCUUUCUCCUUAGAAAAACAGUUUUUGUUAUUGUCAAGGCGCCUGGUGUGGCUGCGUAGCGCUGUCAGGGUGCUAACAUGAAGAAGGUUACAGCAGAUUGACUUCCAUAAAUAUUUAUGGAGCACGGGUCGUGUCUCAGCCACUGUUGUGUGAGCUGGAGGAGGCCCUCAGAGAUGGGCCAGCCCUGGUCCCAGCAGAGUCCUUGGCUGAGGACCUGUGCAUGGGAGGGGAAGGGCAUAGGAAAGGGUUGCAGCCUCCACACUGUAUCAGCCAGGGCAUGCUCAGGUGUGCAGUGAAAGCCCCCUAGUUAUCACAGUGGGUAGGAGGGGGCAGACACACUGAGGUCAGUGGAACUACUUGCCCGGGCCCACACUGGGUCAUGGCAGCUUGAUUAUCCAUAGAACCCACAAGCAAGAUGGCGCCAUUGUGACUGCAGAUGCCAACCACAUUAAUUAUCAAACCGAAGCCACCAAUGGAGAUGGAAAUUGUAUGCAGUUUCCAUAGAGUUAAAAUGUUGUUUAUACAACAAGUGAGUUGAUCCGUUUUCCAAUCCUGGCCCCACUAUUUAUCAGGAUGUUGGAAAAAGAACAGGACUAUUUCCUCUUGGUUGGAACUGGUGAAAGUACUGAGCCUGCUUUAGGUAGAAGUCAAUGCUUCUCUCCCUCAACAUCAGUGACCAGGGCCUGGGAAUGGCUUCCCGGAGGACUGAAGGACUGAUCUACAUCCCCAUCUUUCUCAACAUUUUUAAAAAUUUUGAGACAGGAUCUUGCUGAGUUGCCAAGUUGCCCAGGCUGGCUUGAGCUUGCUACCUUCCUGUGUCAGCCUCUAAAGUCCUGGGAUUACAGGUGUGUGCCGCUACACCCUCCCUGGAAAUCACUCGGUCAUUUCCUUGGUCCUGCAGCUUUCAUGUGUUUUCUGAGUGCUCUCUAUAUAUGGCAUCCCUGGGUAUCCAUGGGUCUCGGCUCCAGAAUCUUCCUGAGUAGGCAAAUCUGAGUCCGCUCAAGUCCCCUUGUAAAAUGACACCGCAUUUGCAUAUAACCUAUGGACCUGCUCCUGUGUUCUUUAAAUCACCUCUAGAUUACUUUAAACGUCUAAUACAGUUUAAAUGCAGUGUAAACAGAUGAUUGGUAUACUGUUUUGUUUAUGGAAUGAUGGCAAGAAAAAGUGUACAUGUUAUGUACGGACAUAAUUUAAAAUAUUUUCCACUUGUGCUUGGUUGAAUCUGCAGAGUUGGAAGCCAAGGUUGUGGAGGAACAAGAGUAUUUGCCCAUAGCUUCUGUGUUUUCCCAUUACAUCUCAGUAUAAUGGGAGGGAUUUGAAAGUGGAUAUGGUUGGAUGAAUGAAUUCCCGACUGGGUCCAAGUGGGGUGUUUCAGUGUCCAGGCGUGGGCCAUCCUGGAGCAGUGUGGAGUGGCUGGGUAGGUAGAUGGUCACCUUGUUGCUUCUAGUGUGAAGGAGAAGAUGCAGCGAUGCACAUUUUCUUUAUGAGAUUAAAAAAAAAUUGAUCUGGUUUCAGGAAACACCUUACCUGGUCUGGCACACCUGUCUUUAAAAAUUAUUCUUUAUGACAAUUUAGCUAGCUCGCUAUCUUGUCCGACAUUGUUUCUCCUAAAUAUAAAGAGGGACACCUCUGAGGCCUUUCCUUCCCUCCGUCCCUUCAGGAAGUUAGACCUUAUGUUUUCUUGGGUGCAGUAGCUGUCCUCGCCUUGUUUUGCAACAGACCAGCAGCUUCUGGGUAACUUCCAGGUCAGGGAAGGGUCCCGGCACUGACAGGAGGGGACCAGGCGAUGAGACUGAGAUGACAAUGGAUGCACAUGGCGGUGACAGCGUGGUACACGGUGAGGUCUUCCCACCUGGGGCCCUGUGGCCUGGCUCCAGCCUUCUUCAUAGGAUGCCUGCUUGCGGGAAUGUUGCCAACACCCAGGGCGUUCAAAUGCGUGUCCUGGCUAUCAGGGGCAGCUCUGUCACCUGCCUCACAGAGAAGCACCCUUGGGGCUAUCCUGGCUGUCCCCAGGGUGAUUUCUGAGGGACCAACACAGAUGCUCUGUGCAAGCCAAGUCAAAAGCACAGGGUGUGUAAAGCAAACCCUGCAGUGCAGCAGCACUAAAAUAGGGCACAUCUGAUAUUUCGGUGUUUAAUAAAUGUUCUCUCAAUUUGUGGAUGAAACAUUCUUUUUUCAUACACUAACGUGAAGUCUUGUUGUAAACCAUCCUUCAGAGGCUGAAAGGAAGGGCGAUUCGAGUUCAGGCCUCGGGCCGGUUAGAUCUCCCUCUGCAUCUUUCUGCCAUUCUGAGGAGCUGGGGCCCCUGCACAGGCUAAAGAAACUUCAGGUCUCACUCUUUCCCUACAUAAAAUGUGUUUUUGUCAUAUCGGCCCCUCCUGCUUUCCUGCCCCGUGGGCUGAGGUGGUAGGAUGCCUAGGUGGGCUCCAGGAGAGGCAAACCCCGGGCCUCUCUGUACUUCCGCAUGGCUCUGCCCAGCAUUCAUCCAGGGCCUGCAGGAAGCCACCAGGCCACCAGGUGGGCAAAGAUCCCCCUGGACAUUGGUCUGACACUGACCAUGGCUAGGAGUGCACGGGUCUCUAUUUCUUAUUUUUAUGUCUUUCUGUAUUCUGAAUUGAACCUAGGGCCUUUGCACUGAGCUAUCUCCCCAGUUUUUCUUUUAUUUCAUUAUGAGACAAGGUUUCCCUAAAUCACUCAGGCUGGGCUUGAACUUGGAAUCUUCCUGCUUCAGCCUCCCGGAGUGCUAUGAUUAUAGGCAUGGACCACCACACCCAACUGAAUGGAUCUUUAUUUGAACUGGUAAAAUAUAGCCUUGAUAGCUUGGGAAUUACAAAAACAUAAUAGCUCUCUAUAGGGGUUAAACGAACAUUUGGUCAUAAUCAUUUUGUGUUGUCCUUUCUCCAAGUUUCUGGUGAUGUGCUCAGAAUCAGAGGGGAGGGGAAGUGAUGAGAUGGCCCACAGGAGGAAGUCUUCCAACUGAAUUAUGGUGGAAGAGGCAGCACACGGCAUCGCCGAGGACCACGCGGCUCCAGUCAGAGCAUGGUGACUGUUUGCACUCUGUGCGUUUAAAAGCUGAGUUGCCUUUCUGUUUGUGUGGGCACGUCUGGCAUGACCCUGUUCCACAGCAUUUGUUUGAAAUAUUUCAAACAUAGCUAUUUAAUGAGUGGAAAUAAAAAUAUCCUUAUUCAAGCAGGGCCCCUGGUUAUUGGUGCAGCAUAGAGAUGUAUUCCUACUCUGUGGCUUUCUGGAUGGGAAUUCGUUUGAGUUCCAAGGGUAACUGUCGGAACAUGCACCGUGGGGAAGUUGUUAGGAGGAACAGGCCAGGCUGCUGUAGAACAGGCCGCAGAUGGUUACUGCCCUGAAAAGCGCGCUUGUCUGUGCUUACAGAUCAUGUUCCGAGGCCUAGCCAUGCCGGUCCAGACUGCUCACCUGUGGGUGCCUCCUCUGGCAGUGGUGGAGGUGACAUUUCCCUCUCACACAUCCAUCCAGUCGCAUUACAUUUUGUACGGUGCACCACUUGCUGCAGUAGGACAGUUUCACAAAAUGUUAGGGCAAGAGUGACAAUGAGUUUUUAUUUAAUUCAAAAGAGUACGUUGAAUUUGGGGGAACGGGUCAUAUUUCAACAAAGACUUCACAAAAUCAUGCCAUCGGUAAAAAGAUUAAUAUUUAUUUCUGUCUUUCUGCAAUCUUCAUGGAGCCCCAGGCGCAUAUCAAAUGAAUAGAAAGAGGCACAGGUCGCCAUGUAAGGGGAGCAAAUGACUCAGCCCUGAGUUUUACAGUGAAUCCAAGUUCUUGGGGUUAUACACGCGCAAGCCAGGCAAUUCACGGAAGAUUUCUGUAGCCAUCUGAUCAACCUCGUAUAGACAUCACGGGCAGACAGAGCUGAUUAGCCCAAUGACCUGAGUUUGCAGAAUUUUGAGAACUAAACAAGAACUGCCCUUUCUCACUCUUUCUGGGGCCCCACUGGGGACCCGAGGAUAGGACUUCUUCAGACCCCAGGGUUGAGGAGGAUCCCUGGUUCUGGCAGGGCCAGCAAAUUAAAUUCCCACUGCUAGAAUAUGGGACUCGGACAGGGAAAGCUAGUUGAAGUUUUCAUCUCUUACAACCUAAAGGAAAGCAAUAGUAAAAUACUCUGGCAACAUUUUCCAAAUUUGCACCCCACAAAUAAUGAGGCCUAGAAGAUGAGGAAGAGAGAAAAGCAGGGCAUGGGGUAAGAGUGUCCCAGGUGAUCGGAAAGAUGCUGAACCCCAGACUGAGGUUUGGACAGUCAAGGUGAACACAGGAACCAAAUGCAAGGCAGGAACCCAUCUGCCUCAUCCACGGAGGUGUGUCCACAUGCCUGUGAGCCCGGCAUCUUUACCCUGUGCAGCCCUGCAUCAGGGGGCUGUGGAAGGGCAGCUCUGUGCUGUUCUCAAGACCAGAAAAAAGGCAAGAGUAUUUGUUAUCAUUGCUAGCGCUCCUUACAAAUGCAGUAAGUUGGCGAAGAAGGUUGUAAGAGGGCAGUCUAGCCACUGGAGUAAAUGAUUAGUAUUUGCAGUGAAUCUAAGAGAAUCAACUGGGAACAAAUUAAAUGUAAUAGUAAAUACUAUCUCAUAAGGUGGUGAGUUGCAAUAUAAUUAUCAAAGCUAAAAGCUUUCUUAUGUACCAGAUAAAAUGACAAUUGAAUAAAAAUACAUUGGGAAAAAUUAUAACGUAUAACAGCAGUAGGGAGUCACCACCCCUACAGGUCAGCCUUAUAAAGAAUACAUGUGAUUUACAUGAAGAAGGCAAAUAAGUAUUGUUGAUGGGCAUAAAGGAGGGAGAGAGGAAAUGAAGAAGAAACCAUGUUCCUGGUUGGACAGAAUUAGAAUUGUACAGAAUACCAACUUUCCACAAAUCUAUAGCUUCACCCAGUUUUCAUGAAGAUCACAAUGGAUUUGGGAUUCUGAAUUGAUCAGGGGAAAAUCCCAUACAUGAUCAAAUCCAAUUGCUGGUCCCUGCUUAGUGGUUUUCAAGUCUGUCCAGGACAUCCCGUCAUCUCUCUGCCAGCCAAGCAGUUAUCAUUUCCGUGGUCUUCUUUUUCAGUUCGUGCUCACUGUAGCCACAAUUCGCUUAUUAUUUCUUAAACAAUAAGAAGAGGGAAAGCCCACCUGUAACUGCACUGGCUGAAAACUCUUCCAUAGCUGCUGCUUCCGGUCUGGUCCGGUGUCCCAUGGCUCCCCUGCCCUGACCAUCUGCAGCUGAGGCCCCUCUCCUGCUGCUCUGCUGCAUACUAUGGGCAGGACAGCACUUUCCUCCAUGCUUUGUGUCCUGACACUCUGAGACUUUUACUAUUCCUUCUGCCUCAAGAUCUCUUUCUUGUCCUCUUCCCCAAUCAUUUCUUCCUUGUUCUUUAAAAAGCAACUCAACAUCAUGUAUUUCAAAGAAGACUGACAUGCUGUUCUCCUUAUUCGAUUUUACCAUCCCACGAGUCCUCUUAGAAGGUGUAAAAAUUCUAAGUAAUAAUCUGUACAAUUAAUCGUUGAAUAACUGUAAAUCCUGCUAGAAGAUGAGCUCUACAGUCGUGCAGACUCUUGUCUUGCUCCCCGGUGCCCACCUGGUGAUGGGCUUAUCACAUUCUCUGGUUUUGUGGAACGUUGGACAUGAAUGAACAUGAAGGAAAAUGAUUGUUACAGAGUAACAAGGAAGACAGCAAAAGACAAACAAAGGCAUAAUAAUUGGAACAACAUGUUGCCUGUGCCAGAACUGGAGGAACAGUCAAUAAAAUACAAUAUAAACUUCAGAAAUAACCCCUACUAUAGAUUAAAAAAAAUUAACAUCUGAUAAAAACAACACAUCUAGGUAAAAAUUACUUACUAUAUGGUGCAGGACAAUGGAGUAACUUUUUGGAUUAGAAAUGUAGAACUCUAUGUUUUGGAGAAUAAAAGAAAUUUCAAUUCAGAGAAAAUAGCAUUUCCAAAAUGUGUUCAAAAGAGUAUGUACGGGUGAACAUGAAACCAUAAUGUUAUGGCUAAGUGUGGGAAGUUUCAAAUUAAAUGAAACUGCUUUCUUUACUUCAAAACUUCCAAACAUUAGGUUAAUUUUCAAGCUGUAUUAUAAUGCAGGAUUUGGCAUAAUUAUGUGGAACAAUUUUUAUUUUCAUAGUAUAAUAUCAAUUUGGGAAAUCUAGAUGAAAAACUACACUACAGGACAAAUUCAAGGAAUAUUUAUAUAGUUUUGGCAUCAGGAAAUUUUUUCUAAACAUAAUAUCAAAGGCAUCACUCCAAAAGGACAUUUGUACCAUUAAGGUUCUUUCCAAGAGGAAAACGCUACCACCAAGGUUAUAAGCAACAGGAAAACUCUCUGAUAAACUAAGUGUAGUAGACUCUAGCAUUGUUUCCAAAUAUUUUCUAUAUCUCCUUGGGGAUAAGUCAUACUUCCCUUCCUCUGGAAUGUCUGGGUUGGCCAUGGGACUUGCUUUGACCAACGAAAAGUAAACGGAAAUCAUGCUGAGCAGAAUAUUUUAGAGACUUAACCCACUCUCUCCCUACCCCCACAAUCAUGGUGGCACCUGUUAAUGUUAAAGGCCUGUCAGCAGGAGCCCUCAGAGUCCCUGGGGAAUCUUUCUGUAAAGAUAGAGCUGAAUGAGAAAUGAACUUUGGUGCAGUCUGUUGGCUUCUUUGUUUCUGUAGCAUCAUCUUGCUUAUAUUAAUGAAUUCAUUAAGGAAAAAGAUAGUCAUUGGAAUAAAUCAGGAACCCAAAGCAUGGACUGGACAAUGGUGCUUAUCAUAAAAACUUUGGAGGCUAAGAAAUCAAAAUAUGAAAGUAAUUUUAUUGCAGGAAGUUGUAUGGUCAAGAUAUUUCCACUGAAGUUGCAUGGACUCUAACCUUUCUUCAGAUUCUUUAUUCCUCAACUAAAAAACCCCUGAAAUUUCAAGGAGAGUAUAUCCAUAGGCCUAAUUUUUAUGACCUAUUCAUCCUAUCAUUAAGGGAGUGUGGGGCUUCUAAUUACAGUCUCCUGUCCCUACCAGAUAUACCUACCCAGGAGCAGACAGAGAGAAUUGACAUUCUGUUAAUAAAAAUAGAUGCCAGGAAGGCAAAAUACAAAUAUCUACUGUCUAAAAGCCUUUAGACUGGACCAUUUUAAUAAAUUGAGGAGAUAAAAAACAGCUUUUAAUGAAAUUAAGGGAAAACAAAAAUAUUAAUGACAUGUGUGAAAGCAAAUAGCUGAUAUCCUGAAUAUAUAAAUAUGCAAGUGAAAAUUAAAACAAUCAUCAGUAGAAAUGGGACUAGUCCAAGGCAAAAGACAUAAACAAGAAUUGCUAAAAUAUAAACUGUAAACAACCAGAAAAUUGAAAAGAUUUCAAUAUACUAGCAUUCAAAGAAAUGCAAAUUAAAACAAGAUAUUUUUCAUCUGUCAAAGUUAUCAAAAAUGAUGAUAGUCUCUUUUUAAAGGAGGAGCAAACUUCUCUAGACUAAUAUCAGAUCACUGAGAAAAUAGUAUUUUUCCUAUAGUCCAUGAUGAAUGUAAACUAUAUCUAUGUCUCUAUAGAAAUAUUUGGCAGUAUUUACUCAAAGUCUUACAAUGCUUAAGCCUUUUAACUAAAGAAUUCAGUGAUGAAUUUAACCUAACAAAAUAGUCUUAGAUUUGGGCAAUUGAUUCAUAGGAAUAUUUAUUUCACUAUCACUUACAUAGUGAAAAUUUAGAAAUAACCUUAAUGGCCAACAACAGAGGAUUUGUAAAAUAAAUUAUGGUAUAUCUGUAUACUGAUGCAUACAUUAAAUGAACUGAUGUUUUAGAAAAUUAUCUAAUGACCUAGAAACCAUUCACAUCAUAUUAUUAAUUGCAUAAAAAGUCAUGCUAUAAAACAGCUACUAUAAAAUGCCAAGUACACAGAAAAAUAUUUAUUGCAAUGUGAUAAUGAAAUAUUAGUAUAUUGGUCAUCUUUGUAGCAAUAGAAGAAAAUACUUAACACCUGUAACUUACAGAGGGGAGGUUUAAUUUGGCUCACGAUUUUGGAGGUUUCAGUUCAUGGUUGACUGCCUCUAAGACAAGAACAUCAUGGUGGAAUAGAGCUGCUCAGCUCAUGGCAGCCAGAAGCAGAGAGUGAAAGACAGAGGUAGAGCAAGAGAUAUACCCUCCAAAGCCAUGCCACAGUGACCCACCUUCUCCAGCUGAGCCCCACCUCCUAACAGCGCAUUCAGCUAUGCGCCAUGAUCUUCUCACCUUCCCAAAGCUCCACAGCUCUGAACACAUAGACUUCUGUGCGAUAUUUUUAGACCAAGCCAUAACAGUUAGCAUUGACUUUACGGGGGAAAGUGGGCUUGAAAUGGCUUAAAUUUCUUUUUUGUGUGUUUCUAUCUUCCCAAACUGUUCUGUAAUGAUGGUAACUUUUGUCAACAGAGUAGAAGCCAAAUCAGAGCUAAAGAAAUGAUCACUUUUAGUACAUUUUAAGAAGGUUUUGAUUAACAUAGCAAUUUGCACUUUGCAAUUUAUUACUACAAAUAACGUUUGCUAUGAUUUUGAUUUCCCAUGUAAAAUCACUCUCCAGUAAUUAAGAACUGCAAUUCACAAAAGUAUUUGUUAUCACUGCAAGAUUCCUCUGUGAAAAUUAAAUAUGACAAGUGUGUUUCAAGUGUUUUCUUGUGCCUUAUACCAUGAUACAAGACAGUUUAAGACUUUCUCUUGAGAAAACUUAUAGGAGGAAGAGAAGCCCUGCUGCACAGGGGAGAAUCAUCCAUAUGAAGAGAAGAGGAGUUGAAGCAAAUCACCCUUAAAUUGGUGCCAUGCAGAAACCUUGAGGAUACUGACUCCCCUGUGGGGUUACAUUUAACCUCCCUUUAUCUGUAGAGAUGGCAGCCCACUUCUCCCCAUGGGGUUCUAGCAUGGAAGAUCUAUAGUCUUAACAAUUUUAUUUUCAGGUGCUCUUUUGCUUGGGAAACAUGCCAAAAAUACUGUUUUAAAAAUGAUUUGUUUAAAAAAAUGAACCUUGGGACAUUGCCUCUUCCUUUGGGGAAUACACUAGGCUGAUCAUGUGGGGCUAGUCCAGUAGUCCAGGAGACUUGUAUCUGCAUGAAUUCACACCUAUUUGCUUUCUACUUGUGCUUUAACAACUAUAUGACAAUAGCUGCUUCUCUAGAAAUUUGCUGGCUUUAUUUGUUUUCAGGUCACUGGGUUAGGCAUCAUCAGUGAUGCAGGAAUAAAAGCAAAUGUGGAUCAUACUCUCUAGUUAUAAAGUCUCUAUUGUGAUGUAUGUGCAUAUACAUAUCACACACACACACCAGACAACAACACAGUGUUCCAGUUGAUAGUUUUGAAUGACUGCAAUCUAAGGCAGGGACUAUUGGUAUUCCAAGAAGACAGAGAAACCAAAGGGGACUUUAAGGUUGUUAUGUCAAUAUCAAAGGGGAUUCAGAUAUGAAAUAGUAUCACAGAUUUCUAUUAUAAAAAGAGAAUAAGCUUUAUGGUAAAUCUUAAUUUAAGUAUUCUCAAAAAUCAGUGCUCUGUGGCUGGUUCUAGAAGUGAGCUAUAUUGUUUAGGAGUAAUUUACUGCAGGCAAUCGAUGCGUUCCUGAAAAGUCAGGUGAGUCAAAAUCAUCUCCAUAACAUCUGUGAUUUUAGAAUAAUAACUCCAGGGCUGUUAUGGUAAUCAAAACAUGAAUUUCAGAAAGGAACCAAUCUAUUUUCAGAAAAAACCCAACAGCAUUAGAAAAGAGUGAAACCAAAGAAUCACAAUAUUAAACUUGCCCAUUAUUGCUUCAUCUUCACUGAUGAAAGUUGGAGAGGAACUGUCCCUCUGUUCACUUAAAGCUGAGGCCCCUCUUGUCCCUAGGUCAGUGGUGGCGAACUAUGGCCUGCAUGUAGCAGUGUGCUGUUUGUAUCAUUGAAAGCUCUAAAAAGUUCGCCUCUCUCAAACUAGGAAAGUGUUGUAGUGAUUUUCCUCUCUCUCUCCUUUUACAUCAUGUGUUCCUCUCCUGUAUGUUUUCCCCAUCAG